CAAUGUGGCGCACCAACAAACGUUGGGCUAGUUUUAUGGCAUUUUGGGCUGGUUUUGUGCAUUCGUUGUUCUGGAAAUGUUUACUUAACCUGGCUGUAAAUUAUGUUGUGAGUGUCAUCAUGAGCACGAGGAAGGUGGCAGUGACAUUUAUGCAGUUUUAUGGCCAGCCUCAGAAAAGAAAAGUAAGCUGAGAGCAGCGAGAAAAUGAGUACCAGUCAGAUGAUAGGAAUAUACAGUAGCACAAGAGAGUAAAGAAAGAGAGGGAGAGAGACCAU